rnacentral:sRNA from 1 species
AUCUGGAAGGCCCGGCACACCCUGUUGGAGCCAGAAGUGCGCUACUACCUGCGGCAGAUCCUUUCUGGCCUCAAGUACUUGCACCAGCGCGGCAUCUUGCACCGGGACCUCAAGUUGGGAAAUUUUUUCAUCACUGAGAACAUGGAACUGAAGGUGGGGGAUUUUGGGCUGGCAGCCCGGUUGGAGCCUCCGGAGCAGAGGAAGAAGACCAUCUGUGGCACCCCCAACUAUGUGGCUCCAGAAGUGCUGCUGAGACAGGGCCAUGGCCCUGAGGCGGAUGUAUGGUCACUGGGCUGUGUCAUGUACACGCUGCUCUGCGGGAGCCCUCCCUUUGAGACGGCUGACCUGAAGGAGACGUACCGCUGCAUCAAGCAGGUUCACUACACGCUGCCUGCCAGCCUCUCACUGCCUGCCCGGCAGCUCCUGGCCGCCAUCCUUCGGGCCUCACCCCGAGACCGCCCCUCUAUUGACCAGAUCCUGCGCCAUGACUUCUUUACCAAGGUCUGUGGCUCCCCAGACCUCUAAGUCCAUCUGUGUAUUCCCAGGGAUUGAAAGGGGGCAGGUGACAGGACCCCUGGAGCCUCUCUUCUCUGUUCACAUGGUUCCCCUCCCUAGGGCUACACCCCCGAUCGACUCCCUAUCAGCAGCUGCGUGACAGUCCCAGACCUGACACCCCCCAACCCAGCUAGGAGUCUGUUUGCCAAAGUUACCAAGAGCCUCUUUGGCAGAAAGAAGAAGAAGAGUAAGAAUCAUGCCCAGGAGAG